AAAUUGAAGAGUUUGAUCAUGGCUCAGAUUGAACGCUGGCGGCAGGCCUAACACAUGCAAGUCGAACGGUAGCACAGAGAGCUUGCUCUCGGGUGACGAGUGGCGGACGGGUGAGUAAUGUCUGGGAAACUGCCUGAUGGAGGGGGAUAACUACUGGAAACGGUAGCUAAUACCGCAUAACGUCGCAAGACCAAAGAGGGGGACCUUCGGGCCUCUUGCCAUCGGAUGUGCCCAGAUGGGAUUAGCUAGUAGGUGGGGUAAUGGCUCACCUAGGCGACGAUCCCUAGCUGGUCUGAGAGGAUGACCAGCCACACUGGAACUGAGACACGGUCCAGACUCCUACGGGAGGCAGCAGUGGGGAAUAUUGCACAAUGGGCGCAAGCCUGAUGCAGCCAUGCCGCGUGUAUGAAGAAGGCCUUCGGGUUGUAAAGUACUUUCAGCGAGGAGGAAGGCAUUGUGGUUAAUAACCACAGUGAUUGACGUUACUCGCAGAAGAAGCACCGGCUAACUCCGUGCCAGCAGCCGCGGUAAUACGGAGGGUGCAAGCGUUAAUCGGAAUUACUGGGCGUAAAGCGCACGCAGGCGGUCUGUUAAGUCAGAUGUGAAAUCCCCGGGCUCAACCUGGGAACUGCAUUUGAAACUGGCAGGCUUGAGUCUUGUAGAGGGGGGUAGAAUUCCAGGUGUAGCGGUGAAAUGCGUAGAGAUCUGGAGGAAUACCGGUGGCGAAGGCGGCCCCCUGGACAAAGACUGACGCUCAGGUGCGAAAGCGUGGGAGCAAACAGGAUUAGAUACCCUGGUAGUCCACGCCGUAAACGAUGUCGACUUGGAGGUUGUGCCCUUGAGGCGUGGCUUCCGGAGCUAACGCGUUAAGUCGACCGCCUGGGGAGUACGGCCGCAAGGUUAAAACUCAAAUGAAUUGACGGGGGCCCGCACAAGCGGUGGAGCAUGUGGUUUAAUUCGAUGCAACGCGAAGAACCUUACCUACUCUUGACAUCCAGAGAACUUGCCAGAGAUGGCUUGGUGCCUUCGGGAACUCUGAGACAGGUGCUGCAUGGCUGUCGUCAGCUCGUGUUGUGAAAUGUUGGGUUAAGUCCCGCAACGAGCGCAACCCUUAUCCUUUGUUGCCAGCGGUCCGGCCGGGAACUCAAAGGAGACUGCCAGUGAUAAACUGGAGGAAGGUGGGGAUGACGUCAAGUCAUCAUGGCCCUUACGAGUAGGGCUACACACGUGCUACAAUGGCGCAUACAAAGAGAAGCGACCUCGCGAGAGCAAGCGGACCUCAUAAAGUGCGUCGUAGUCCGGAUUGGAGUCUGCAACUCGACUCCAUGAAGUCGGAAUCGCUAGUAAUCGUAGAUCAGAAUGCUACGGUGAAUACGUUCCCGGGCCUUGUACACACCGCCCGUCACACCAUGGGAGUGGGUUGCAAAAGAAGUAGGUAGCUUAACCUUCGGGAGGGCGCUUACCACUUUGUGAUUCAUGACUGGGGUGAAGUCGUAACAAGGUAACCGUAGGGGAACCUGCGGUUGGAUCACCUCCUUACCUUAAAGAA
rnacentral:rRNA from 1 species